GCCCGGGUGGUGGAAUGGUAUACACAGGAGACUUAAAAUCUCCCGCCGCAAGGCUUGUGGGUUCGAGUCCCACCCCGGGCACAA
rnacentral:tRNA from 2 species